UGCCACAUGUUGGUGACCUUUUUAAGGGGUAACAUUAACACCCUCAUCACUUUCGAGACCCCGACGGCCCCUUCCAUAAGGAUCGUGGUUGAAGGGAUGGAGCAAGACGACGCUUCCUCCCAACUUUCCAUUCCCUCGGUCUCUAAAAUGUUCAGGGCCAAGAAGAUCUCCUCCAGUCGUCCUGACCGAGGAGACAUUCUAGAUAAAAGGAAGCAAGCUCUGUCCCCUUCUCCUGAGGCAAAGAGGAGAAAGAAGAUAAGGCCUCUACCGUUUGACCAACUAGCCUCUAUCCCUCUCCAAAUCGGCCCCACACCUUAAAAGGGGAGGCACACACAUAAGUGCCAACGGAUGAUGAUCCUCUCAGUAGACUCCGACGAUGGCAGAGUGAGUCCGAUCCAAUAAGGAGAGAAUGAGACCCAGCACCUUGAUCUCCAAAUGGUCUCCUUCCAAGCCGCUACCACCCUUAAGCCUACACCCAUGGAUUUAGUUGCAUUUACUUAAGAGGUAGACCAGGAGGUGGUAGAAGGUGGUGAAAGUCAAGGAGCUGUCCUGUCUAUCACAGCCCCAGGCAGUCCAGAAAAUGUUAGGGCUGCUCUUAAUUAAGAGGGAGCUGCUGCUGUUGCCUCAAGCGACCAGCUGGAGGUUGGGGUCCAGGACCCUACUGCCAUUACGGGCCCCUAGAUGAUCUCCCUACUCAGUCUAAUCCUUCCCCCCAUUUAACCAAUCUUCAAGAGGGUAGGAGUUCUGGGAGGUCGCAGGCAAAGUUCAUGGGUACUGCUCUGACUGCCCUGGUCUACAUCCAAGGUGGCUUAGCGUAGGGUCAAGCAGGUUCCUCCACUCUAAUAGACCGUGUGGAGGAGGACUUGUGCUUGGUGGUGAAUAAAGAAAAGGAUCUCAUAGACCCAGUCUAGCUAGCUGCACCAGAGGCAGUACCUACGGAUGCUCUUUUCUCUCACAUUUACAUCCCUGAAACGAACGUGAUAUUGGAUGCGUGGAGAGUCAUCCAAUUCUAACUCAGCCAUGAUCCCUUCCUUAUCCCUGAGCGAAAUUUCGGGGAAAUGAUCCAGGCUUGAGGCAACAUCCGUAGUACAGUCUGUUAGAAUUGUGGCUGAGUUGACACUUCUGUGAGCUCAAGUCUCAGCAUGUUAUGGCAUUGUUAGCCAAUACUGUAAAGAACUCCCCUCUUUUCCGAAUAUUUAAAGAACAACUGGGCAAUGAGGGAUGAAUAUUUGGCUGCCAAGACCCAGAUGACUACUUCUACUAACCGGGUCUAAGAGAUUGCCCUUCGUGUUGAUAAUCGUUGGGCAUUAUGGGCUAAGGUGGCGGACUUAAGGAGCCAACUUAUGGAGGCUGAAGAAGAGUUGGCAAAGGCCGAGGCUGAAGACGGUCCAGCAGAACCCGAGCUGGAAGUAGCUACUAAAGUGUUGGAUGAGACACGGACCGUCUCAGAUGCUAAGCUUUAAGGUUUGCUUGAGUUUUAAAGUCCUCACACGUCACCAGACCCUUUCUGUGGAUUUACAUUGGGCUCAGUCAACGUGGGAACUUAUAUACAACCUUUGUAAAUAGUGUACUCUAUGUAUAAACACACACACAUUUUUUUAUUUGUUAUUCUUUAUUCUUUGUAACAUGAUUCAAUGAUAAUAAAGAACAAACAUUUUUUUCUCA